GGACGAACGGCGUGUUACAGCUUGGAAAGUGGAGAAGACUAAAUUCCCAUUGGGAAUGGACCGAUAUGACUUAUAGGUAUCGCCUAGUUGGUUUCUACCCCUGAGAACAGCAAAACGGCCCCUGUCCCAGCUGGACAUCAAACUGACGGAUUUGGCAUCCAAGUGCUGGGUCUGCUCUUCGGAGUUACCCUUACGUACAAAUUGAGCUGACACGUCUCUUCAUAGGGUUCCCCCUUAACUAGCCCCAGAGGUCUCUCGGACCGUGCCCGGACUCAGGAUCAAGGUUUGCGGAACCUUGGCCCGUUCCAUGAGCGAUACGCAUGACCAAAAGAGGCGUCCAUUCCGACUCAUUUCGAAGCUGCCCUGCUGGGCGAAGGGUGGAGUGGACUCCCGCCCCAUCCCCACGCUACAUGCUCCAAGUGCAUAUGUCGCCUGUUGACACUUCGAGACGGAGGGCACUCAUCUCCUCAGAGAGCUGCUCCGCAUGGACAAUUGGUUCUCUCCCUCAACUGGACAUGAGAGAAACCCGCAUGGGUUUCGCCAUCAACAUGGACAUAUUGAGUCUGACUCACUCCAAUGGGAAGAUAAUCUACCCUUUGAUAGAUUUAAUGAACAUGUCUCACUUUGGUAUGUUAGCAGAGAUUAAAUAUCUUGGUUAAAUUGAGAUUUACUUUUAGGAAUCCAAGAUAAAUUGAUCUAUAAGUAUUUAAAAGAAAAAGUGAAACUUAGGAUCCAGUUUAAAGACAAACAUUUUAGUUUUACUGAUAUUUUAUUUAUUUGCUCUAUGUGAGACAAGUUGCUUAGGAAGGAAUAUUGAUUUGGACUGAUUACAAUUACUAAUCCAAUUCUGUAGUUAGCCUAACAACUGAUUGCUUUUCAUAAUCUAAUGUAUCAUAUUUUUUUUUUCUGAGAACAGCACAUAAGUAAAUAUAUCACCUAAAAUAAGGUACAAUAUAACAACAAGUUCUUGCGAGGUACCCAGAGUAUUUAGCAACCAACCCAUCCUAUUUCUAUCGAAGUUAAGAGCCCAAAUAUAAACAGUUAUAAUAAUUGGGGGGGAAGAAGCAAAGAGAAAAAAAAAACACAGCGAAUACCAUG